CACGUAGGGCGCGAGCGUUGUCCGGAAUUAUUGGGCGUAAAGAGCUCGUAGGCGGCCUGUUGCGUCCGCUGUGAAAGCCCGGGGCUUAACCCCGGGUCUGCAGUGGAUACGGGCAGGCUAGAGGUAGGUAGGGGAGAAUGGAAUUCCCGGUGUAGCGGUGAAAUGCGCAGAUAUCGGGAGGAACACCGGUGGCGAAGGCGGUUCUCUGGGCCUUACCUGACGCUGGAGGAGCGAAAGCGUGGGGAGCGAACAGG
rnacentral:rRNA from 1 species